CGAGCUCCGCGAGGCCACCUCUGCGGUUUAUAGGACCCCAGGCAUUGGCUGGCGCUACUAGUGUGCAAACGUCCUGGCAGUCUGGAGAAAAGGCCUGCUGAGUCAAAUGCAGCUGAUGCAAGGGCGGCUGGCAGGGGUUGGGAUGCAGGAGUCCCAGACCGCGGGAUGUUUUGCAACUCAAAUCCUCCCGGGCUGCAGGUAAACACGGUGUUGGACUCCUCCAAGGCCUGAUGGGCCAAGCAGGACAGUUUUUUGUGCUUAAUAUUUUCGCUCUCAUUUGCACACCUGUUCAAACCACCUGCUCCCAGAGAAUGUUCUGCUUUCCUUCUUUAUCCUUUCGUGUCCCCCUCUGCAAGGUCUCUCAGGGCCACCACUCGCUCCCUGACGCUGGGGACUCCCCGAGGAACACAUCACUCCUCUGUUCUCUCCUGAGCACCAGGCUUGUCUGUCCGGCUAUCUCCAGGACAGCCCUCUUCCUGUCCCACAGGGACCGGGCACGGCCCAUGUUUAAAUCUAGACGCAUCAUCUUCCCCGACCCCUUCUGUCCCCAGUCCAGCGAUGGCUCCUCUAAUUCACCAAAUUAUUGACCCCCCUCCCCCACCUUUGCCCUGAGCUUUAAUAUAACUCAACUGGCACUGGUACUAAUCUUGUCAUUAUUUAAAGUUUUGGUAUUUUGUCAUCGUGGGGUAUUUUUUUCUUUAAUUUUGAUUUUAGAAAAUACUGUAUAAAAUAACUAUUUCUCUUUAUGACUGCGCUUUUGGCACCCCCUUAGGUCUUACUGGGGAGAUGAGUGCCUCACUUGCCACACCCUAAUUCUGACCUGACUGGUAAUGUUUUGUAAUCAGGGUGCUGCUCACUCGGGUGUGUCCGUUUGUCAAACUUCAUCGAGCUGUACACUUCCAAUUUUUGCACUUUUCUGUAUGUAUAUUAUGCUUCAAUUAAAAAAUUUAUUAUUAUUAUUUUUUACUUAAAAAAUAAAUCUCUCUCUGGUUUCAA